AAUAUAUGACGCCAUUGACUUUUUGAGAUACGUUUGACCAUUCGUCUUAUUCAAAAAAAUUAUGUAAUUAUCAUUUAUUUUAUUAUGUCUUGAUUUAUCGUCAAAUGUUCUUUAAGCAUCACUUAAUUUUUUUUUAUAUUUGCACAAAAGAUUUGAAUAAGACGAAUGGUCAAACGUUUGUCAAAAAGUUAACGGUAUCAUAUAUU
rfam:Oryza punctata chromosome 1, whole genome shotgun sequence.